rnacentral:rRNA from 1 species
UGGGGAAUUUUGGACAAUGGGCGAAAGCCUGAUCCAGCAAUGCCGCGUGUGUGAAGAAGGCCUUCGGGUUGUAAAGCACUUUUGUCCGGAAAGAAAUCCUUGGCUCUAAUACAGUCGGGGGAUGACGGUACCGGAAGAAUAAGCACCGGCUAACUACGUGCCAGCAGCCGCGGUAAUACGUAGGGUGCAAGCGUUAAUCGGAAUUACUGGGCGUAAAGCGUGCGCAGGCGGUUUGCUAAGACCGAUGUGAAAUCCCCGGGCUCAACCUGGGAACUGCAUUGGUGACUGGCAGGCUAGAGUAUGGCAGAGGGGGUAGAAUUCCACGUGUAGCAGUGAAAUGCGUAGAGAUGUGGAGGAAUACCGAUGGCGAAGGCAGCCCCUGGGCCAAAUACUGACGCUCAUGCACGAAAGCGUGGGGAGCAAACAGGAUUAGAUACCCUGGUAGUCCACGCCCUAAACGAUGUCAACUAGUUGUUGGGGAUUCAUUUCCUUAGUAACGUAGCUAACGCGUGAAGUUGACCGCCUGGGGAGUACGGUCGCAAGAUUAAAACUCAAAUGAAUUGACGGGGUCAUAGCUGUUUCC